GUGGGGAAUAUUGGACAAUGGGGGCAACCCUGAUCCAGCCAUGCCGCGUGUGUGAAGAAGGCCUUCGGGUUGUAAAGCACUUUAAGCGGGGAGGAAGGUUCGCUGGCUAAUAUCCAGCGGAAUUGACGUUACCUGCAGAAUAAGCACCGGCUAACUCUGUGCCAGCAGCCGCGGUAAUACAGAGGGUGCAAGCGUUAAUCGGAAUUACUGGGCGUAAAGCGCGCGUAGGCGGUUGUGUAAGUUGGAGGUGAAAUCCCCGGGCUUAACCUGGGCACUGCCUUCAAAACUGCACGGCUAGAGUAUGGGAGAGGAAGGUAGAAUUCCAGGUGUAGCGGUGAAAUGCGUAGAGAUCUGGAGGAAUACCGAUGGCGAAGGCAGCCUUCUGGCCUAAUACUGACGCUGAGGUGCGAAAGCAUGGGGAGCAAACAGGAUUAGAAACCCGAGUAGUCC
rnacentral:rRNA from 1 species